rnacentral:lncRNA from 1 species
AUGAUGGGGAACCUGUGGGGACACAGAUCCAGGUGUCCCCAUCUGUCUUGUGUCCCUUGGUGGACACCAGGGAUCCCCUGGGGACAUGGAUCCAGGUGUCCCCAUCACUGUGUGUCCCUUGGUGGACACCAGGGAUCCCUUGGGGACAUGGAUCCAGGUGUCCCCAUCCCUCUUGUGUCCCUCGGUGGACACCAGGGAUCCCUUGGGGACACAGAUCCGGGUGUCCCCAUCACUGUGUGUCCCUUGGUGGACACCAGGGAUCCCUUGGGGACAUGGAUCCAGGUGUUCCCAUCACCGUGUGUCCCUUGGUGGACACCAGGGAUCCCUUGGGGACAUGAAUCCAGGUGUCCCCAUCAGCAUGUGUCCCUUGGUGGACACCAGGGAUCCCUUGGGGACACGAAUCCGGGUGUCCCCAUCACCACAUGUCCCUCGGUGGACACCAGGGAUCCCCUGGGGACACGGAUCCAGGUGUCCCCAUUCCUCUUGUGUCCCUUGGUGGACACCAGGGAUCCCUUGGGGACACGGAUCCAGGUGUCCCCGUCACCGUGUGUCCCUCGGUGGACACCAGGGAUCCCUUGGGGACCUGGCUACAGGUGUCCCCAUCCCUCUUGUGUCCAUUGGUGGACACCAGGGAUCCCUUGGGGACAUGGAUCCAGGUGUCCCCAUCACUGUGUGUCCCUCGGGGGACACCAGGGAUCCCUUGGGGACACAGAUCCGGGUGUCCCCAUCCCUCUUGUGUCCCUUGGUGGACACCAGGGAUCCCUUGGGGACACAAAUCUGGGUGUCCCCAUCCCUCUUGUGUCCCUUGGGGGAAACCAGGGAUCCCUUGGGGACAUGAAUCCAGGUGUCCCCAUCACCAUGUUUCCCUUGGUGGACACCAGGGAUCCCUUGGGGACACAGAUCCGGGUGUCCCCAUCACCAUGUGUCCCUUGGUGGACACCAGGGAUCCCUUGGGGACACAGAUCCGGGUGUCCCCAUCAGCAUGUGUCCCUCGGGGGACACCAGAGAUCCCUUGGGGACACGAAUCUGGGUGUCCCCAUCACCGUGUGUCCCUUGGUGGACACCAGGGAUCCCUUAGGGACACGGAUCCAGGUGUCCCAACACCCUAUGUCCCUUUGGGGACAGAUGGGGACAUGGAUCCAGGUGUCCCCGUCACUGCGUGUCCCUCGGGGGACACCAGGUCAACCCCCGCUGUCCCCCAUCCCUGUUUCCAACCCCCCCUUCCCCCCCCCUUGCCCUGGCGAUGCCACCACCGUGUCCCCACCGUCCCCUCC